CCUUUUAAUUUAAUUGCAAAUUGCACACGGUGAAAGUUCCGAUCACUUUUAAGUUUGACCGGCGAUGACGUGGACAAUAUUUAACAUACAUGGCAUUACACGUGGAUUUUUUUACACGUGUAGCUCCACAAUACACACUUUUUUUUUGACAUGGCAUUACUCUUAAUAUUAAAAAAAAACAAAAAAAAAACACAAAAUUGAAAAAAACAAAAUUAAAGACCAUUUCGAUCCGGCGCCGCCUCUGACCUUCGAUAAUCGAUCCAUUUCUCUGCCGCCCUAACCUCCGGCGCCGCCUCUGACCUUCGAUCCAUUUCUUCUCUCCCUCAAACUCAGGUGGAAAUCUUCUCCUAAACCGAGCCCUAGCUCUCUCUCAUUCUCCGUCUGUAAGAGAACCGUCGUCGCUGCCGAGGGGCCGACGAGGACCGGCGAUUGGCCAUCGUUCCACGCCCUCUUCCUCCGCCCCUCUGUUCCUCUUCAAAUUCUUCUUCUCCUCUCUGAAAUUCUUCUUCUCUUAUGUUCCUCUUCAAACC
rnacentral:lncRNA from 1 species